rnacentral:rRNA from 1 species
UGGGUGAGUAACGCGUGGGUAACCUGCCCUUAAGUCUGGGAUACCAUUUGGAAACAGAUGCUAAUACCGGAUAAAAGCUACUUUCGCAUUAAAGAAGUUUAAAAGGCGGCGUAAGCUGUCGCUAAAGGAUGGACCUGCGAUGCAUUAGCUAGUUGGUAAGGUAACGGCUUACCAAGGCGAUGAUGCAUAGCCGAGUUGAGACGACUGAUCGGCCACAUUGGACUGAGACGACGGCCCAAACUCCUACGGGAGGCAGCAGCU